GAGAGGACAGGGAGAAAGAGAGAGGGGUGGACCCUGCUGGAUGGAGAUUCUGUUUUCUCCUUGCUAAAAUAGAAGUGAUUUGCAGGCUUUCCCUAUGGAAUCCAGUUUGACUCUCCCCAGAGCUAAACACAGGCACACUAACCCCAAAGGGAGGAGGCGGGGCUCAAGCCUCAAAGCCCCGCCCCUUCUUUGCAUAACGUCAUUCUUCCGCCUCGCCGCAGCCAAUCGCCUCUGAGGAUCUGGCUUGCUCUCGGAGCCAGGCCACGCUCCCUCAUUAACAUCCUUCUCCUGGUGGCUCGGAGAAGCCGGGCAAAGUUCCUUGCAAAGUGGCGAGCGAGGGAGCGCUGAGCAAGGCGUCUGGGCUGGGGAGGAGUCGGGUCGACUGAAGCGGAAAAGGGGACAGAAGGAAGGAGAGGGGGGUAUCCUUUCCAGGGAUUUGAGCUGGAGAUCUGCAUCCAGGCUAUUGCUGUCCCUUAGCAUCCUUGCUGCGCCGUGGGCGCGCUCGAGGCAUACAGGCUUCGUUCUCCCAGGGCUGAUGCCACGUCCUGCUCCGCAGUCCUGGGACGUCGGGGGCAAAAGUGGAGGAGACAGGAGAGCCCAGACAGAAAAAGCAGGACGCGUGUCCCAGGCAGUGCUCUGUAUGGACAUGAAAUGCAUUUGGGAAUCUACCUGCAACAAAUCUCUGUCUCUGCCACAUGAGGACACAGCAAGAAGAGAGCCAUCUGCAAGCCAGGAAGCGGGCCCUCACCAGAACCUGAUUAUGUUGGCGCCAUGAUCUCAGACUUCCCAGCUUCGGAACUGUGAGAAAUAAAUGUCUGUUGUUGACGCCACCUGGUCUGUGAUGUGUUGUAAGAGCAGCCUGAACUGACUAACGCUUGGGGGAAAUAAAAGUAAUUAGAGUUAGUAAUUCAGGAUACCAUCCAGUUCUUCUCAGCUGGAACUCUGAGGUACUGGGAUGACACCAGUUUCAGAAGUUGUUGCUUUGGUAUAAUCUUCCUGUGUUUCUACCCACAGCACUAUUUUGUGAAAUACUUUUUUAUUUAUUUACUUUUUUUUUUCAGACUGAUUCUAGCUCAAACUGCCUCUUAGGCAAGACAUUGGAUAAUUUUGAUUAUUGAUGAACUAUUCUUUCAUGUUUGAUUUUCUUCAACCUCAUUUUUUUUUUAAAAAAAAAAAAAAGGUGGAACUCUGCAAGAAUAUUGGGCCAUAUAGUUUGGGGGCCAUAUAAAAUGCUUUGUCAUUUUCAAACCAAGAGGAGAAAUUUGCUUCUAUAUUGAUGAACGGUUCUUUCAUGUUUUAUUAUCUCACACCUAAGGAAAUUUCUUACGAAUUUUCAGGAAAUUUUGUGAGAAAAUAUUGAUUGUGUGACAAACACCGUUGGGUGAAAUCAUUGCUAUCUUGUUUUUUUUUUUUUUUUUAAUCCUUGGUGUGGUAUGACUGGUCACCAAGAAUAAUACUACUACUUUAAUUUGGAUAAUAGUGUAAAAUUAACAGAGGGGUUUCACCUGACUUAUUGCUUGAACUCCUCUCAACAAACCAUACAACAGUCAUCUCUCUUUCACCAGAGAGGAAAUGAGAUUGAGCUGUGCCCAUAUCACAUGGCUGGUAAGCAGCCCAGUUUGGCUAUAACCCCAGAACAAUGACUGCCUAUGAAGAAAUUCAUCUGCCAUUUUGGUUGGGAAUAGAAGUGUCAAACAAUGCCAUGGGCACUCCUGUAUGGAAAGAUGUGAGAUGCUUUCUAUUGCAGGCAUUAUCGCCAUAAACAAACACCUGUUUUGUGUCUCCUGAGCAUCUGAGAAGAUGGUAUACUUCUACCUCAAAGUUUGCUCUGCUGAUCUCUGUUCCUCUAUCCAGAGCAUGUACUUGAAAGAGAGAACCACCUGAACACUCCUUCCACUUGGACUAGAGGUUUUUCUGAAGGUGAAUGCCUCAGUUUGUUUCCCAAAUGUGGUGAUUGGUACUAUACCAAGAUGCAAUGAAUUUAAUGUAAAGCAAAUGGUCUCAACCACUGAGAAUUUGGGCUUGCUUGUUAUUGAAGCUUAAAUUAGCCUGUCUUGACUGGUAUGAUUUCUUGAUUCAAAUUUAAUUCUUUUAUAAAAGAAUAUUACCUCUGUAGGGAUGGAUCUUAAACUGAUCAUAUAGAUACAUACCUUUGAAAGAGAAAAUAUCCUCCUAAACCCUCAUGGUUUUAUUUAAAUCAAUUUGACAAUAUUACUUAAAUAUGCACAAGCAUAAAAGUAGGAACGAAUUCUUCACACAUGUACUUAUUGAGCAACUGCAAAACCAGAUUCCAAACUAAAUGAAAAGAAAAAUACCACAUAACCAAAGGAUUAUAAAUAAACAGUAACAAAAUAUACUGGAAUCCACAUGGCUUCGUGGAAACUACAUUGCUAUCCAAGUGUCAAGCAGGUUCUUUGAGUAGAGCAUGCUUCUUUAAUCUGCCCUCAGCAAUGGCUCACUUUUUUUUUUCCAACUACCACAAAACAUUCCUUAAUUCAUAUUGUGUAAGAAAAGUUUAAAGGAAUCAUUUUAGUACCAAAGCUACUUCUGUUCCUUUCUUACCCAGCCUGACCUUUCUCACUCUUGAUGCCAAUAAACACAUUCUAAAACUUGAGCUCAGAAAUUUUGUGUCGGUUUUCAGAUUUAAGGAUACCUGUGCUUAGCUUUGUAAGUAUAUCAUUGAAAUAAAAACCCUAAGCUUUGAAAUUUUUAUUCAAACCUAGGAACAGUCCACUCUCAAAACGCAUUUCAGAUGCCCAUGAAGUGUGUACUUGCAAACUGGUUAAAAGGACAAAUGUUUUGCAUAUUUCACCAAAAUUAAAUUUUUUUUUCAAGAAGAAUAGCACAGGUAUCUUGAGCAUGAUCUCCCUAUUAUUUUGAUUGUGGGUGACUUUAAGGGGAGUUGCUUAACCUCUCUGAAUCUCCAGCAUUCAUCUGCAAAGCAUACCAUUCUUACGUUAAAGCACAAAGAGUGAAAUGAAGAGCCUAGUACAGGACCAUUUUUGUUAUGCAUUUUCCUCCCCGGCCUUAGCCCACUGAUUUCCCAACUUCCCUUGAUGAAAAGACAUUUCCAGAUGUAGUCUAUAAGUCCUCCCACAAGGCCUUCGAUCUGUUCCUUCUCACUCUGUGGACUUAAUCAGGAUCUGGCACAGGAUUCCAGAGCUCCAGGGCACAAUUUUACACACUGUCCUUUAUAAAGGUCCGGAUAGUAAAUAUUCCAGGUUUCUUGGUCUAUGCGUAUCGUGUUUCUGAUAUAACACCCAAGCACCUAUAUGACUUUCUGUAAGUAUGAGGCUUUCCCCUUCUUCCCUACCUUUAAAGACAGGGAUCGUGAAUAAUUUGUUUAUUGAGCCUUUCUAAUUCAUGUUGGUGAAAUGAGUAAAAAUGCCAUCAGAUAAAUAACCCUGGGGAGGAUUAAUGUCUGCAACAUGUACAGCAGUUUAGGUUGUCACUGUCCCCUUCCCUUUGUGCCCCUGUUCAUUCCCAGAAACACAUUUGAAACACUGUUUUAUUGAGUGAGGUGACUAGAGCUUGGCUGGCUAGUCGAGGUGCUGUGACAGGUUACCCCCUGUGACAGUGACUCCUGGAGCCCAUUGUAAAGCCAGCUCUGGGGUCUUUUCUCUGACUGUGCCACGGUAACAUGAACUGUCUCCUACCAGCUUGACAUCACCACCAUUGUGGGUUUGUAUUUUCACCCCUAAUUUAUAGUUCAGGAGCCUGAGACCCAAAGGAGUUAAAGAGUUUUCCAAAGUCAUCUACUAGAAUCCAGGUUCCCUGAUUCCUCCCAUCAUGCUACCCAGCGUUGGAUUCUGAGGCCUCCAAGAUCUUAUUCACCUUCCGUAUUUGAAAUGUGUUUGUUGGGGGAACAAUUGACCUCAGAAUGAGUAACUUGCCACCACUCUGAGUAAGUUUCACCCUUUCCCAUUACAGAGUGAAAAUGAGAAAAAUAUGUCCUAGAUACCACAGAGAAAAAAUGCUUCAUUGUCUUAAUUGCCUUUCUAUUUCAAUCAAGGAAGGCAUUUAAUUAUUUCUGAACUACAUUCUAAAUUCUCUCUCAAGAAUAUCACUGUCCCCAGGUGAGUUAACCAAGACUGUGCAAAACAUUUUCUCAAAUCUGAAUAAUGAUCCCCAAUAUUUACUGAGUACUUCUCGCACGCCAGCAACUAUUUUAAAUCCUUUCCAUUGAUGACUUCAUUUCCUCCUCUCAGCAAGUCUGUGAAGAGGAUGCAAUCAUUAUUCCCCUUUACAGAUGAGGAGAGCAAGGCACAGAGGUGAGAUCUUGGCCUGAGAUCACAGGCAGGAGGUGGUGAAGUCAAGCAUCCGAUCCCAGGAGCGCCUCUGAGGUCACACUUCUGAUUUCACUCACCAUGCAGUCUUUGGACACAGACCUGGUGUCCCCUUUGAGAUAUCAGGGUUACUUGAACACAGUUCUGAAUAUGUACCCAAAAGCCAUUUGUAGGAGCCAUCCAAAAUGACCAGUUGUGGCUGUUGAAGGGUCACCCAGGAUCUCCAGCUUCUGGAAAUACGGGUGGGUCAUCUCAAGGCUGCAGGGGCAGCAGGGGCAGUUUGUCUGUCUUCUUAAACAACCUCAAGAAAGAAGUCCUUGCUGCUGAGCACCACUGUCCUGGGCCUCUAAAGAUCUACAUGGCACUCAUUCUACUCCACUCGAUCUAAUCAUGGCUGUGAAACCACAGACAGAAGAGAUAACAUUCUCAUGAUCUGUAGUUUAUGGCCAUUGCUCUUGCCUCACUUGAGCUAUCUAGAGAACAAAGGACAGUCAACUCAGUAUUUCUAGAGUAGGACCCCUUGUCUGUGGAAGGUAUGACCCAAGAUGCCCCCUGAAUGCCUGAAUCCACAGAUAGUACUGAACUCCAUAUUUACUAUGUUAUAUUAAAAUCAAAUUUAUUAAUUGGGCACAAUAAACAAUAAUAAUUCAUAUUAAAUUAGAACAAUUAUAACAUUAUACAGUAAUGAAAUUGCCAGCAUCACUACUUUUGCACUUUGGGGUCACUAUGAAGUAAAAUAAGGGUUACUUGAACCCAGGUACUGUGAUACUACAACCAUCAAUUGGAUAAUCAAGGUGGCUACUGAGUGACUAAUGGAUGGAUAACAUAUAUGACAUAGAUACCCUGGACAAAGGGAUGAUUCACGUCCAAGGCAGGAAAUGACAGGAUGGUGUGAUAGUUCAUCAUGCUACCCAAAAGUAUAUGACUUCAUAAUUGUGAGUUGUUUAUUUCUGGAAUUUUCCAUAUAAUAUUUCAGAUUGGUUGACCACAGGUAACUGACACCAUGAAAAAUGAAAUUACAGAUAAGGAGUUAAUAAGAUAAAAUUGAAUGAUAUGUACACAUAGGCUGUGUAAGUAGUAAAAAAUGUUUUCUUGUAGGAUGUACUGGAGCCUUCAAAAAACACCUAUUACCUGUCGUACAGAAUAAAGGCUAGAUUUUGAAAUGUGAAGCCCACAUCAGUAGGGAGUUGACACUUCAAAUCAUUCACACAGAUAUUAAACUUUCUAAUGGGUUAAUUAUGGAGUAUCUUAUAUAUUCAGAUA